CCUACGGGAGGCAGCAGUGAGGAAUAUUGGUCAAUGGCCGUAAGGCUGAACCAGCCAAGUCGCGUGAAGGAAGAAGGAUCUAUGGUUUGUAAACUUCUUUUAUAGGGGAAUAAAGGUAUCCACGUGUGGAUCUUUGCAUGUACCCUAUGAAUAAGCAUCGGCUAACUCCGUGCCAGCAGCCGCGGUAAUACGGAGGAUGCGAGCGUUAUCCGGAUUUAUUGGGUUUAAAGGGUGCGUAGGUUGUUUGUUAAGUCAGCGGUGAAAGUUUGUGGCUCAACCAUAAAAUUGCCGUUGAAACUGGAAGACUUGAGUGUGUUUGAGGGAGGCGGAAUGCGUGGUGUAGCGGUGAAAUGCAUAGAUAUCACGCAGAACUCCGAUUGCGAAGGCAGCUUACUAAGCCAUAACUGACACUGAAGCACGAAAGCGUGGGGAUCAAACAGGAUUAGAUACCCCUGUAGUC
rnacentral:rRNA from 1 species